CGUGGUUGAAAUAUUUAUAAAUACCUAUUACCUAUCCACCAUUCGAGUAUGCCGAUUAGGUUAAUUUAUCGACGAUAUAAAUGGGUGAUGAGUGGAAAAUUAUUAAAAAUUGGUUACCGAAUGUAUAGGUGUGGCGCUGAGAUAGGUAUAGGCUUCCUCAUUUUUCAAUAAUGUUUCAUAGGUGUAGGUACUGCAAAAAGGAAUGGACAGAUUUCGAAAAAAAAGAGUUCACUUUUUUCAAAAAGAGUCAAGAGUUACACAUUUCUCAAAGUUUUCAAUCAGAAGAGUAGGGCUCUGAGUUUAACUUUUCUUCAAAAAGCGUUACCUACUCUUUGUUAGGUAUAUAGGUAGGUACUCUUUUCCCAUCAAAAGAGUUCAAACAAGUCAAGGUCAAAUUGUGCUUACCAACACGAAGAUUUCAGAGCUUGAGGAUUUUCCCAAUGAAGUAAAUAUGAAGUACAAUUCAAGAUUCUGAAGCUCCCUAACCCAUUGACUUUGAAAUUCAAUACUGUUUUUAGUCCUCUGCAAGCGAAUUGAAGAUCGGUAGAUCGCAAAUAUUUUGAUUAUUAAUAAACAUGACCAUCUUCAACUCACUAACCUUCAAUUCGCUUGUAGAAGAUUUGGAGGUGGAAAAUUUGCAUUUUGGCCAAAGUCCACUUAUCGCAGUUGUUUAUUAAUUAUUAUACUAAUGAAUACCUAUAUCUACGAAUGCACCUGUUAUUUGAUUAUAUCUAAAAUUGUCCGUGCAAUGUGCAUUUGAUUAUCGUUUAAAAUAAUGAGUUCAAGUUCAGAACAUUACUAUGUAACGUCAAGUGUUUGAUCAGCGUUGAUCUUGAAUAGUUUCACCUCAAGCUUGAUAUUUUUCCAAAAUUUUCAAUAAGUACCGCUUUUCAGAUUUUUAAAAAAUAUCAAUCAAAAAAAAGUCAUGAAAAAUUUAAUGUUCUUUGUUUUGAUUUUGAUUGUUUAUUACGUUGUCGGAGCGUUUUCGUUUGUAUGUCGUGAAAAAAACGAUACAAAUGCGAAUCCAUUACUCACGAUAUGCCCGGAUCCUCCACUGGGUCCUCCCGGAGUGAGUCAUGGAUGAUGAUUAAUCAUGAUUGUAUUUGAAAAAUUUGCAAGCUUCCAAUUUAGUAUGCAAUUUUAUUCGAAUACAUGGUGUAGGUAAUUUAAGAUGUACCUAUAAAUUUUUGAGAAAAAUAUAUGUAAAUGUGUUUCACAAAAA